UACGGGGGGGGCAAGCGUUGUUCGGAAUUACUGGGCGUAAAGGGCUCGUAGGCGGCCAACUAAGUCAGACGUGAAAUCCCUCGGCUUAACCGGGGAACUGCGUCUGAUACUGGAUGGCUUGAGUUUGGGAGAGGGAUGCGGAAUUCCAGGUGUAGCGGUGAAAUGCGUAGAUAUUGGGAGGAACACCUGAGGCGAAGGCGGGCUACUGGGCCGAUACUGACGCUGAUGCGCGAAAGCCAGGGGAGCGAACGGG
rnacentral:rRNA from 1 species